rnacentral:lncRNA from 1 species
UUUUGGAUGAUGAAGAUGAUAUCUGCAGGAACAAAAUUUUAUUAUCUAAAGAAAUUUGUCAAACACCCACUAUAAACAUCAAUUAAUCAUGACAAUAACACUGACAACAAUUAUAUUGGAAGUGUUUUAAUUCUUCUUCUAAUGGAAAGUCAAAUAAAUGCUACUGAAGAAGAAGAAGAACCUGCUGCUGCUGUUGCCGCUAGUUAGGUUGGAGAUAUUGGAGAUUCGAUAUCAAAAACCCACAAUCAAACAACAAUUUGCAGAGCUUAGGGUCAUUUGAUGGUAAUUGGGUUCCACUUAAGAGCAUCUACGUAUGAGUAGUGCGUCCUGGCGUUCAAUAUUGCUUCACUCUACCUUCUGACCUUAGUUUUGUAUUUGCCUCUUGAAGUUAAUUCUGUCGGAAUUGUCGUUAUGCAGGUUAUUUGUGACCAUUUGGGUCUAGGUGUUAAAACAGGGUUGCCAUACCUUUGGCACAGCAAGGCAAGCAACCCAUUUGUGAACUUGAAGAAAGAGUACAAGGGCAUCUACUGGCAAGAGGAUAUCAUCCCAUUCUUCCAAGCUGUUGUACUUCUGAAAGAAUGCACAACCGUACAGAAAUGCUACAUUGAGCUAUCCAAGCAGGUGAAAGAGAAGUUAGGUCCCAUUGACAAUUACUUUGAGACACUUGCAGAUGCCAUGGUUACAUGGAUUGAAGCCUGGGAUGAGAUCAAUGCACAACCAAAAGCUGGAAGUCAGCCCACCACUCCACCACUCAAGAAAGAGAAAUCUGAAGAACCUAAGCCAAAGUAGAGAGAUAUUUCCGAGUACUUUGUUUUAGUUUGGUCUCUACCAUUUCUUUCUGUUAUUUUCAGUUAUUUUAUGUUGCUAUAUUUGGAUUCACCACCAGACUUCUAGCACUCUACUAUUUAAUUAUGCAAGUUUUAGUAAGUUCAUAUGAUCAUAUCUGAUAAAUUUGUGAGCAUACUAUAGGCAUGUCUGUAAUGAUUUUAACUUCAUUCCCCAUGCUUCAGGAUUUUAAUGAUUGUGAAUUCCAUUGAAUCAGAGGAUUCUGAUUAAAAUUUCUUGGAGUUUUAUUGAUUCUAAUGUCAUGGAUUCAUGACCUGGACCUUAUGCUGGGUUUUUAGGCUGGCUUUUUAUAGCUUGUCAGUGAGCUCAUAGGAAUAUAUUGUUGCGACUUGCGACAGCUUGACAUGGCCUUGUCUAGGGACCCCUUUGUUUCUUCUUUGGUCAGAGUCGGACAUUUUUGAAUACGGAUUACAACUUGCAAGGUACUGUGGUGACCCAAGAUAGAGUUAUCGAGC